rnacentral:rRNA from 2 species
GGGUUGUCAUGCCAAUGGCAUUGCCCGGUAGCUAAAUGCGGAAGAGAUAAGUGCUGAAAGCAUCUAAGCACGAAACUUGCCCCGAGAUGAGUUCUCCCUGAGACUAUAAGUCUCCUGAAGGAACGUUAAAGACGAUGACGUUGAUAGGUCGGGUGUGUAAGUGUAGCGAUACAUUGAGCUAACCGAUACUAAUGAACCGUGAGGCUUAACCUU